rnacentral:lncRNA from 1 species
CAGCAGAAUCUAUCCACCAAGUAUCCUUAGGUACCGAAAUUAAAUUAACCUCAGAACAAACAAGAGAAAGAAGUGUACCCUUUUUCGCACGCCAGGCAUGGUACUUGGUACUAUCCUGCUUCACAUGAUUAGUCCCCUUACAGAAAAAGCAACCCAAUUCAGUGAUUUCAACCUUAGGUUCCUUAUGUUGCUUAUUCUUGGGCUUUGCAACCGC